rnacentral:lncRNA from 1 species
AGCCGAGUAGCUCGAAUUUAUACCUAGUUAAGUUAUAUUACCCAUCCUACCCCACUAAUAUAUGUUAUUCCUAUCCUACCCCCAGUAUAUAUCAACAUAACACCAUAAGUUUCUGCUAGAAACCUAGCCGUCCCUUCUCCUUCUUCUUCUCAAACUCAAUCUAACCAUCUUCAUCUCCAGUAAUUAAAUUUUCCAAGCUUCAUACUUCAGCAGCAGCAGCAGCAAAGCUUUAGCUUCACAUAGAAAUCUCUCUCUCUCUCUCUCUCUCUCUCUCUCUCUCUCUCUCUCUCUCUCUCUCUCUCUCUCUCUCUCUCUCUCUCUUUUUUGCUUUCAACAACUAUUUCAACAGGUUAGAAAAUUUCUCUUGAUAUUGAUUGUUUUUUACAACAAGUUAUAGUGAAAUUAAUUUGUUAAUUGAAUGUUUUUAGAAGAAAAGAAGUGAAGUGAUGCGGGAAAUUGUAACAAUUCAAGCUGGAGAUUUUGCAAACUUUAUUGAUUCUCACUUUUGGAAUUGAACAAAAAAAUCAAAUUUUCUGAUUCCGAUUCUGCUUCUUCAAGCGAUGAUGAAGAGUCUGGUCAGCCAAAAGAGGAAGAUGCAAAUAACAAAAACCAAACAAAUGAAGACGGGGAGAAACAACAUUUAGAGACAGAUCUGCCAAAAUGUGUGAAUGUAGUCAACGAUGAGCCUAAGAACAAGUCCAUUGAUAAGCUAAUUGAUGACGAGCUCAGAGAGUUGAAAGACCGCAGCAAGGUGAGAUGGAAAAAAGUUUGUGAUUGAAAUUAUUGGACCACAUAAAGUUGGUUAGAUUGAAGAUGGUUAGAUUGAAGAUGGUCAGAUGUUUGAUUUUUUGGUCACUAGAUAGCAGCUGCACGACUUUCUCAGAUAGAAGAAGGGUUCGAGCUUGAUUCGAGCUAAUCGAGUUUGGA